UUUCCUUUCUUGGCAUGGAGUGCAGGUAAACUUAUCAACUAUUGACUAAAAUAGUUAUAUGCUAAAAUUCCAUUUAUUUUAAUUGAAAUUUAUCCUUCAGGACAGCUUUAGCAGCUCUUCACUUUAAUGAGAAUGCUCACCGGGCACAGUCUGUCACAAAGGAUGGUGUACCAGUAUAUGGGAUUCACUAUCCCAAGUAUAAGAAGGGUGGUUACAUCGUCAGAAAAGUCAUACAGGAAGCAACCUAUGAUCGUUAAGUCUAUUUGCCAGAGAGAUAACAAUCUUGAAGUUGAAGAGACACUGACCGAUGAAACGACAAGGCUGCCUCUAAGCUCUUCAUGUGAAAAGCCAGACCGAGAUAGUGCUAUUAAAAAUCAUGUGUCACGUUUCAUGUCAAACUCUCUCUAUUGAACACUAUGUUUCAGGCGAUUAUAAAUAUGAUCUGGCAAGUUUUUA